UGAGUGAAACAGACGAUCGCGGCUCUUUUAGAGGUGAGGAAAGUCCGGGCUUCGCAGGGCAGGAUGCCGGAUAACGUCCGGUAGAGGUGACUCUCAGGAAAGUGCAACAGAAAAUAACCGCCGCGCAAGCGGUAAGGGUGAAAAGGCGGUGUAAGAGACCACCGCUUAUCC
rnacentral:RNase_P_RNA from 1 species